ACCACCGGUCCACACCUGCUCGUCGUCGACUCGGCGCGUUCCAUGGCCACCGCCUCCCCUCUCCUCCUCCACGGCAACCCAACCUAAGCGUCCGGGCACAGAGGCCCUUAUCCCGGCGAGACCGACCUGUGGACUCCCUCCAUUGACUCCAUGGCCACCGCCGCCUCCACUCCGCUCCUCCACGUCCGCGCUCCAGCUCCCAACGCUAACCCUCUCUCCGUCCAGCGCUUCUGCCUGGCGCGCACCCGCUGCUCGGGAUCCGCCUUCCAGCGCCUCUACCUACUCGCCCCCCGCGGCCUGCCGGCGGCCACGCCCCGUGCCACGGCCGAACCCUCCGCCUCGACCGCUCCCGAU
rnacentral:lncRNA from 1 species